CAAUUACAGCCACUACUUCAAGACCAUCGAAGACCUGCGGGACAAGAUUCGUGGUGUCACCAUUGAGAACUCCAGGAUUGUCUUGCAGAUUGACAACCCCUGCUUGGCUGCAGAUC
rnacentral:pre_miRNA from 1 species